GCAGAAGAUAGAGGCGCGGAUUUGAAGAGUAGCAGAGCUUGAGGCUGCCAAAGCCGGUGACAGUCUGUAAAAGGAAAAUUCGCCGAAGGGAUGGCUUGGAACAGCAAUUCCUGGUUGAGUGUGUGAAACAUCGACUCAACUGUCGUCAUAGAAUUAUGAUGGAGCGCUAUCGGCAAG
rnacentral:ncRNA from 2 species